GAUGAACGCUGGCGGCGUGUCUAAUACAUGCAAGUCGAGCGAACGGACGAGAAGCUUGCUUCUCUGAUGUUAGCGGCGGACGGGUGAGUAACACGUGGAUAACCUACCUAUAAGACUGGGAUAACUUCGGGAAACCGGAGCUAAUACCGGAUAAUAUUUUGAACCGCAUGGUUCAAAAGUGAAAGACGGUCUUGCUGUCACUUAUAGAUGGAUCCGCGCUGCAUUAGCUAGUUGGUAAGGUAACGGCUUACCAAGGCAACGAUGCAUAGCCGACCUGAGAGGGUGAUCGGCCACACUGGAACUGAGACACGGUCCAGACUCCUACGGGAGGCAGCAGUAGGGAAUCUUCCGCAAUGGGCGAAAGCCUGACGGAGCAACGCCGCGUGAGUGAUGAAGGUCUUCGGAUCGUAAAACUCUGUUAUUAGGGAAGAACAUAUGUGUAAGUAACUGUGCACAUCUUGACGGUACCUAAUCAGAAAGCCACGGCUAACUACGUGCCAGCAGCCGCGGUAAUACGUAGGUGGCAAGCGUUAUCCGGAAUUAUUGGGCGUAAAGCGCGCGUAGGCGGUUUUUUAAGUCUGAUGUGAAAGCCCACGGCUCAACCGUGGAGGGUCAUUGGAAACUGGAAAACUUGAGUGCAGAAGAGGAAAGUGGAAUUCCAUGUGUAGCGGUGAAAUGCGCAGAGAUAUGGAGGAACACCAGUGGCGAAGGCGACUUUCUGGUCUGUAACUGACGCUGAUGUGCGAAAGCGUGGGGAUCAAACAGGAUUAGAUACCCUGGUAGUCCACGCCGUAAACGAUGAGUGCUAAGUGUUAGGGGGUUUCCGCCCCUUAGUGCUGCAGCUAACGCACUAAGCACUCCGCCUGGGGAGUACGACCGCAAGGUUGAAACUCAAAGGAAUUGACGGGGACCCGCACAAGCGGUGGAGCAUGUGGUUUAAUUCGAAGCAACGCGAAGAACCUUACCAAAUCUUGACAUCCUUUGACAACUCUAGAGAUAGAGCCUUCCCCUUCGGGGGACAAAGUGACAGGUGGUGCAUGGUUGUCGUCAGCUCGUGUCGUGAGAUGUUGGGUUAAGUCCCGCAACGAGCGCAACCCUUAAGCUUAGUUGCCAUCAUUAAGUUGGGCACUCUAAGUUGACUGCCGGUGACAAACCGGAGGAAGGUGGGGAUGACGUCAAAUCAUCAUGCCCCUUAUGAUUUGGGCUACACACGUGCUACAAUGGACAAUACAAAGGGCAGCGAAACCGCGAGGUCAAGCAAAUCCCAUAAAGUUGUUCUCAGUUCGGAUUGUAGUCUGCAACUCGACUACAUGAAGCUGGAAUCGCUAGUAAUCGUAGAUCAGCAUGCUACGGUGAAUACGUUCCCGGGUCU
rnacentral:rRNA from 1 species